UACGUAGGGUGCAAGCGUUAAUCGGAAUUACUGGGCGUAAAGCGUGCGCAGGCGGUUGUGCAAGACAGAUGUGAAAUCCCCGGGCUUAACCUGGGAAUUGCAUUUGUGACUGUACGGCUAGAGUGUGUCAGAGGGGGGUAGAAUUCCACGUGUAGCAGUGAAAUGCGUAGAGAUGUGGAGGAACACCGAUGGCGAAGGCAGCCUCCUGGGCUAGUACUGACGCUCAUGCACGAAAGCGUGGGGAGCAAACAGG
rnacentral:rRNA from 1 species